rnacentral:rRNA from 1 species
UACGGGGGGGGCAAGCGUUGUUCGGAAUUACUGGGCGUAAAGGGUCUGUAGGUGGCCAACUAAGUCAGACGUGAAAUCCCUCGGCUUAACCGGGGAACUGCGUCUGAUACUGGAUGGCUGGAGUGUGGGAGAGGGAUGCGGAAUUCCAGGUGUAGCGGUGAAAUGCGUAGAUAUCUGGAGGAACACCGGUGGCGAAGGCGGCAUCCUGGACCAUUACUGACACUGAAAAGCGAAAGCCAGGGGAGCAAACGGG